UAGUUAUGAUAAUAAUAUAAGUUUCUAUAAUUUAUAUUUUUAGGCACACAAUGAGUUUCUUUAGAAAGGUUUUCGGAGCAUGUGCAAUAGGUUUCAGACCUAUAUUAAAGAAGUUCAAUCUGGUCAGCGGUAGGGAGCUCCACCGCGACAGGAUAUACAAUCGUCGGAUAUCUGCUCGGAACAACAUCAUCGAGCAGAGACGACGAUCUAAUGAAGAGGUCAAUCCGGUAAGUGCAUACUCUAC